rnacentral:lncRNA from 13 species
AUGCAACGAAGGUUGCACUGUGGUAGUGGGGAACAGGAAGUUCCCGGCACGCGGGCACCAUUCUUCAGAAUAAAGAAAGCGCCAGAACAGUGCAGUCAAGAAGAUAACCGUUGUAUGUGUCCGUUUCAAUUUACUACUACAGACCGACUCAGAUUAAGUCUGAGGCCGGUAACAUCAACAGUGAGGACAAACCCAGCCUGCCUCUCUCCUUCCACACUGAGUCCAAACCUACAGUCACUGGGUCCUGAUUGUGACAGUGGAGCCCAGUUUGCACUGCAGGAUCCAGAGAUGGCAUCAGUGAAGCUGGAAGACUGCAGUCAAACACUGAAGCUGAAUGUCAUCAUUAAAGAUGAAGAAGAGGAGGAGAAGAUUGGUAAGAGCAGGUUCUAUCUAUAAAUUAGACCUUAAGUUAUGACCCAGUCUAAUACUAUGUUGACUUCUGUAAUUCUGACAUCAAACAUCACUGAACAACUGGAUUAUCUGGAGUGAUCAGAGAGCAGACUGAAGAAGUGAAGUAGACAAACUGCCAGUGUUUUAAAGUUCUAUGAAAUGAGUCUGUGUAGUUACUAAUCCUUGUUAUAGUGAGUGGAGGAUGAUAUGAAAUGAGUCUGUGUAGUUACUAACCCUUGUGAUAGUGAGUGGAGGAUGAUAUGAAAUGAGUCUGUAGUUACUAACCCUUGUGAUAGUGAGUGGAGGAUGAUAUGAAAUGAGUCUGUGUAGUUACUAACUCUUGUGAUAGUGAGUGGAGGAUGAUAUGAAAUUAGUCUGUGUAGUUACUAACUCUUGUGAUAGUGAAUGGAGGAUGAAUUUUUAUUUUUUUAUUUCACCUUUAUUUAACCAGGUAGGCAAGUUGAGAGCAAGUUCUCAUUUACAAUUGCGACCUGGCCAAGAUAAAGCAAAGCAGUUUGACAGGUACAACGACACAGAGUUACACAUGGAGUAAAACAAACAUACAGUCAAUAAUACAGUAGAAACAAGUCUAUAUACGAUGUGAGCAAAUGAGGUGAGAAGGGAGGUAAAGGCAAAAAAGGCCAUGGUGGCAAAGUAAAUACAAUAUAGCAAGUAAAACACUGGAAUGGUAGAUUUGCAGUGGAAGAAUGUAGAAAUAAUGCGGUGCAAAGGAGCAAAAUAAAUAAAUACAGUAGGGGGAGAGGUAGUUGUUUGGGCUAAAUUAUAGAUGGGCUAUGUACAGGUGCAGUAAUCUGUGAGCUGCUCUGACAGCUGGUGCUUAAAGUUAGUGAGGUGGAUAAGUGUUUCCAGUUUCAGAGAUUUUUGCAGUUCGUUCCAGUCAUUGGCAGCAGAGAACUGGAAGGAGAGGCGGCCAAAGUAAGAAUUGAUUUUGGGGGUGACCAGAGAGAUAUACCUGCUGGAGCGCGUGCUACAGGUGGGUGCUGCUAUGGUGACCGGCGAGCUGAGAUACCUAGCAGGGUCUUGUAGAUGACAUGGAGCCAGUGGGUUUGGCGACGAGUAUGAAGCGAGGGCCAGCCAACGAGAGCGUACAGGUCGCGGUGGUGGGUAGUAUAUGGGGCUUUGGUGACAAAACGGAUGGCACUGUGAUAGACUGCAUCCAAUUUAUUGAGUAGGGUAUUGGAGGCUAUUUUGUAAAUGACGUUGAGGAUCGGUAGGUUGGUCAGUUUUACAAGGGUAUGUUUGGCAGCAUGAGUGGAGGCUUUGUUUAGAAAUAGGAAGCCAAUUCUAGAUUUAACUUUGGAUUGGAGAUGUUUGAUGUGAGUCUGGAGGGAGAGUUUACAGUCUAACCAGACACCUAGGUAUUUGUAGUUGUCCACAUAAUCUAAGUCAGAACCGUCCAGAGUAGUGAUGUUGGACAGGCGGGCAGGUGCAGGCAGCGAUCAGUUGAAGAGCAUGCAUUUAGUUGUAUUUGAGAGCAAAUGGAGGCCACGGAAGGAGAGUUGUAUGGCAUUGAAGCUCGUCUGGAGGGUUGUUAACACAGAGUCCAAAGAAGGGCCAGAAGUAUACAGAAUGGUGUCAUCUGCGUAGAGGUGGAUCAGAGACUCACCAGCAGCAAGAGCGACAUCAUUGAUGUAUACAGAGAAGAGAGUCGGUCCAAGAAUUGAACUCUGUGGCACCCCCAUAGAAACUGCCAGAGGCCCGGACAACAGGCGCUCCGAUUUGACACACUGAACACUAUCAGGUGUUCAUGGUAGGAUAGAUAUAGGUCUGUAGCAGUUUGGGUCAAGAGUGGCCCCCCCUUUGAAGACGGGGAUGACCGCAGAUGACCGCAGUGUUCUUAUUCUCCAUGGAAUUUACAGUGUCCCAGAACUUUUUUGAGUUUGUGUUGCAGGAAGCAAAUUUCUGCUUGAAAAAGCUAGCCUUGGCUUUUCUAACUGCCUGUGUGUUGGUUUCUAGCUUCCCUGAAAAGUUUCAUAUCAUGGGGGCUGUUCGAUGCUAAUGCAGAACGCCAUAGGAUGUUUUUGUGUUGGUUAAGGGCAGUCAGGUCUGGAGUGAACCAGAGGCUAUAUCUGUUCCUGGUUCUACAUUUCUUGAAAGGGGCAUGCUUAUUUAAGAUGGUGAGGAAGGCAUUUAAAAAAA